GACAGAGGCCUCAAGCGUUAGGCGGAAUCACUGGGCUUAAAGCGUGUGUAGGCGGACUUCUAAGUGCCUUGUGAAAUCCCACGGCGUCAACCGUGGAACUGCUGGGCCAUACUGGGAGUCUUGGGCCAUUCAGGGGCAACUGGAACAAGCGGUGGAGCGGUGAAAUGCGUAGAUAUCGCUUGGAACGCCAACGGUGAAACA
rnacentral:rRNA from 1 species